UGAGAAUAACAAACUCUGGAUCCGAGAAUAACAAACAGGAUUUGCCAGAAUGUUCGCUACGGACUGUUCAAGAAUCUGCUCAGGGCAAGGAAGGCAACAUCGACGUAACAAGACCUGGGAAUUGCGGAACAAGACCCGGGGUCAUUAUUCUGGGUUUGAAGCCGAGAUAAAUCGGAGUCCAGCUCAAAUUAGGACAGUCGAAGCUCUGUCGACGAACCGAUCUCUCGACGCCUCUCUCACGACGCAUGAAUUCGGUAUUCAAUCCUAUAAACGGCCCGAUUCGGCAACGUCGCGCGGAUGGCGUUCGUCCGAAAUUGACUUUUGCAUGGGUUCUAAUACCCGUUGUCGCUUUAAUUGAUCCGUCUUUUGUCUGGGUCGGUUCAUGCCGCCUGCUUUCAUUACCGCACUCAUGCAUUCCUAAUCCCCCGAGUCCAACUGUGCUUAAAACUCCGCCUCAAACACCUUAUCUAUGGUGAUAGGAACCCGGAAAACCGAAUCUAGGAAUAUCGGAGGUAGCCAUGCCCCUUCCGAAAAAAAUCGAUUAAUUAGAUAUCACACCAAACUCUCUGGAUGAAAUAGUUUCAUUUGUGAAAUAAGUUACGAAUGUUUGUCAUUGAGAUGUUCAUUUAACUCCAUUGGAUUCAGUUGCGAAUAAACUUUUCUGAAGAUUUUCACCCGUA